AUGGUGAAGCCACACAUCCAUAUCUUUCCAGACUAUUCCUCAUCCAUUCGCCAGGUUGAUGUUUUCAUGGCCGAUGUUAAGACACGCAAAUGGGUGCCCAUGGCUAAUGGGCUCGGUGGCGGCCGAGCACUAUUCAUCAGCCAACACUUCUCCAAGUUUGUUUCUGCACCUUGUGGAGAUAUCAAGGAGGAUGCCAUCUAUUUUCUCGAGUCGGGCGAGGUGUUAAAUAUGAAAACUCAGAAUGCUAAACCGACGAGGUUUUACGAGCCUGGCUGCCUGGGAUGGAAUGUCAUGUGGCUCUUCCCCCCGGAGUUGGUGCUUUAA
rnacentral:rRNA from 1 species